rnacentral:rRNA from 1 species
UGGGGAAUAUUGCACAAUGGGCGGAAGCCUGAUGCAGCGACGCCGCGUGGGGGAUGAAGGCCUUCGGGUUGUAAACUCCUUUCGACAGGGACGAAGCUUNAGUGACGGUACCUGUAUAAGAAGCACCGGCUAACUACGUGCCAGCAGCCGCGGUAAUACGUAGGGUGCGAGCGUUGUCCGGAAUUACUGGGCGUAAAGAGCUCGUAGGUGGUUUGUCGCGUCGUCUGUGAAAUUCCGGGGCUUAACUCCGGGCGUGCAGGCGAUACGGGCUGACUUGAGUGCUGUAGGGGAGACUGGAAUUCCUGGUGUAGCGGUGAAAUGCGCAGAUAUCAGGAGGAACACCGAUGGCGAAGGCAGGUCUCUGGGCAGUAACUGACGCUGAGGAGCGAAAGCAUGGGUAGCGAACAGGAUUAGAUACCCUGGUAGUCCAUGCCGUAAACGGUGGGCGCUAGGUGUAGGGGGCUUCCACGUCUUCUGUGCCGUAGCUAACGCAUUAAGCGCCCCGCCUGGGGAGUACGGCCGCAAGGCUA